rnacentral:rRNA from 1 species
UACGUAGGGUGCGAGCGUUAAUCGGAAUUACUGGGCGUAAAGCGUGCGCAGGCGGUUUUGUAAGCCAGAUGUGAAAUCCCCGGGCUUAACCUGGGAAUGGCAUUGGAUACUGCUGAUCUGGAGGAUCGGAGGGGGGACUGGAAUUCUUGGUGUAGCAGUGAAAUGCGUAGAUAUCAAGAGGAACACCAGUGGCGAAGGCGAGUCCCUGGACGAUACCUGACACUGAGGCACGAAAGCCAAGGGAGCAAACAGG